CCGGGACCCGCCGGAGGGCAGCAGUGCUAACCGUGCGGCCUGCCGGGGAGAGGGGCGCACCGAGCCUCGCUCUUUCGCCGCGCUUGCCUUCCAGCCUCGGCCCCGCAGCCCGCGCCCAAGGCCUCUCCCACCCCCAGUUCCAGGGAAACUCCAACACCUUUCCGGGACUUGGAGUGGCAGGGGCCGAGGAAGAGGGGUUUGAGGAGAGGAGUUCGGUCAGCCGGCUGAUUCCAGUUCGCCCUUCCCAGGUCUCCCUCCAAAGUCUGGAAAUGCUCAGGGCGGAGAGGAGGACAAAAGGAGGCCUGGGACUUACAGGGGGCCCAGAGGGAAGUUGGUGCCAAGGCGAGCGGAAUCUUUGUUUUUGUCUUCGGAGCUCCCGCUUGUAAAGGGUGGGAGAACGGGACAUUAACAAGGCAGUCACAAAGGACAGAGCCCAGCCACGUCCUCUUUUGUGGUCCAGGGGAACUUGGAGAACUGGACCCCCUAGGGGGAGAAGCCUAGCGCAGGCGCAUCAGGACCCAGUUAAACUGCCCUGUGUUCCAGGCGCCUUUGCCCUGGACUCCUUCCUGCAUUAAAAACGAUAAUUUGUAACUGAGUUGGCAUAGUGACAAAUAUUACAUAUUAAGACAUUCUCUUCCAUCUAAAAAUCCAUUUUCCC
rnacentral:lncRNA from 1 species